AAAAAGGUCCUUUUCAGGACCACCAAUUAUAAAACACCUACAGUCU
rfam:Acyrthosiphon pisum strain LSR1 Contig1021332, whole genome shotgun sequence.